rnacentral:rRNA from 1 species
UACGUAGGGUGCAAGCGUUGUCCGGAAUUAUUGGGCGUAAAGAGCUCGUAGGCGGUCAGUCGCGUCUGCUGUGAAAACUCGGGGCUUAACUCCGGGCCUGCAGUGGGUACGGGCUGACUAGAGUGCGGUAGGGGAGACUGGAAUUCCUGGUGUAGCGGUGAAAUGCGCAGAUAUCAGGAGGAACACCGGUGGCGAAGGCGGGUCUCUGGGCCGUAACUGACACUGAGGAGCGAAAGCGUGGGGAGCGAACAGG